AGGCUUUUGUUCUUCAUAAGCAUGGUAAUUGGGUGUUCACGCUCUUGUGUGAGAUGUGUCUCCCUCGAACCUUGUUACGACAUCAGCACACUACCCGUUUGAUG